rnacentral:lncRNA from 1 species
UAUAUACGAUGUGUAUACACGUAUUUGUGUGUAAAGUGCAUAAUAGUAAAUUUUCAGUGCAUUACUAUAUACAUUUCUAUAUGCAUUGAUGUAUACACUUAUUAUCAGUUUAAACAUUUAUUAAUGUAUAAUGUACACUGAUUUAUAUACUAUACACACACACACAUGCAUUCAUACUCACACUCACACUCACACUUACACUCACACUCACACCCACGUACACACACACUCUCAGUCACACUGAUAUCGUACGCACAUGCACCCUUACGUAUUGAU